rnacentral:rRNA from 1 species
AAUGGGUGAUGGCGUGCCUUUUGCAGAAUGAACCGGCGAGUUAUUGUUGCAUGCAAGGUUAAGUUGAAGAGACGGAGCCGAAGCGAAAGCGAGUCUGAAUAGGGCGCUUUAGUAUGCAGUAAUAGACCCGAAACCGAGUGAUCUAUCCUUGAGCAGGUUGAAGUGGUGGUAACACACCAUGGAGGACCGAACCGACGUCUGUGAAAAAGGCGCGGAUGACUUGAGGAUAGCGGAGAAAUUCCAAUCGAACUCGGAGAUAGCUGGUUCUCCCCGAAAUAGGUUUAGGCCUAGCCUUCUAAUUAGUUACCUGGAGGUAGAGCACUGAAUGUAAGAUGGCGGCGUAUAGCUGUACUGAUUGCAAUCAAACUCCGAAUGCCAGGCUAAUAUGUAGAGGAGUCAGUGUAUGGGUGAUAACGUCCAUACGCGAGAGGAAAACAAUCCAGACCGCCAGUUAAGGUCCCAAAAUUUAUGCUAAGUGGGAAAGGAUGUGGAGUCGCUAGAACAGCUAGGAGGUUGGCUUAGAAGCAGCCAUCCUUUAAAGAGUGCGUAAUAGCUCACUAGUCGAGUGGCACUGCGCCGAAGAUGUACCGGGGCUAAAGCAUAAUACCGAAACUGCGGAUUACUUUGUAAUGGUAGGGGAGCGUUCUAAGUGCGCUGAAGGUUGAUCGUAAGGACAGCUGGAGCGCUUAGAAGUGAGAAUGCCGGUAUGAGUAGCGCAAGACGUGUGAGAAUCACGUCCACCGUUUGCCCAAGGUUUCCUGGGUCAAGUUCGUCUUCCCAGGGUUAGUCGGGUCCUAAGGCGAGGCCGAAAGGCGUAGUCGAUGGACAACAGGUUGAUAUUCCUGUACCACCUAUAUGACUGAUGGAGUGACGAAGGAGGCUAACAAGUGCCUGUUAUUGGAUUCAGGUCUAAGCACAAAGGCUUAUAUGUAGGGAAAUCCGCAUAUUGGUAGGCUGAAGUGUGAUGGCGAAGAGAGUAGCAAUACAAUUGAAGACUUGUGACGCCAAACUUCCAAGAAAAGCUUCUAGGGUUAAUCGUAUAGGUGCCCGUACCGAGAACCGCCACAGGUGGGCAAGGAGAGUAUCCUAAGGUGAGCGAGAGAACUAUGGUUAAGGAACUCGGCAAAAUAACCCCGUAACUUAGGGAGAAGGGGUGGUCUAGCGAUAGACCCGCAGUAAAGACGUCCAGGCAACUGUUUACCAAAAACACAGGUCUCUGCAAAGCCGUAAGGCGAAGUAUAGGGGCUGACACCUGCCCAGUGCUGGAAGGUUAAUAGGAGAGGUUAGUAUUUGACUUUGUCAACAUGAUACGAAGCUUUGAAUUGAAGCCCCAGUGAACGGCGGCCGUAACUAUAACGGUCCUAAGGUAGCGAAAUUCCUUGUCAGGUAAGUUCUGACCCGCACGAAAGGUGUAAUGAUCUGGAUACUGUCUCAACCAUAGGCUCGGUGAAAUUUUAAUACCUGUGAAAAUGCAGGUUACCCGCGACAGGACGGAAAGACCCCAUGGAGCUUUACUGUAGCUUGAUAUUGAAAUUUGAUAUUCUUUGUAGAGGAUAGGUGGUAGACUUUGAUACUAGGACGCCAGUUCUAGUGGAGUCGCCCUUGGAAUACCACCCUUGGAAUAUUAGAUUUCUAACCUAGGACCGUAAUCCGGUUCGGGGACAGUGUCUGGUGGGCAGUUUGACUGGGGCGGUCGCCUCCCAAAUAGUAACGGAGGCGCCCAAAGGUUACCUCAGAAUGGUUGGAAAUCAUUCGCAGAGUGUAAAGGUAUAUAGGUAGCUUAACUGCGAGACUUACAAGUCAAGCAGAUACGAAAGUAGGGCUUAGUGAUCAGGCGAUUCAGUAUGGAAUGGUCGUCGCUUAACGG